GUGUGGUCCCCGCGGGGGGGGGGGGGGGGCGUCUCAAUGGCAUUUUUAAAAUGCUAGCAGAUCGAUGGCCAUGCCUCUCCCUCCCUCCCUCUUCCGCUCUGAUUGGCUGAGAGGCAUGCCAACAUGGCUUCUCCUCUUAGAGGGGCUACAGCUACAUCCGAAGACAUCAGAAACAAACGGAAAAAAGCCUGGUGUUUGUGGUUCUUCAACUUGGACUGGCUUAUCGUGAGUGUGGCUUUCUCCCUUCCUGGACUCUUGGACUGAUUCGACUACGGCGCUGUUUGACCACCUUGGAAAUGUUUGUUUGGACUUCCUCUAUGGCGACUUUGGGA
rnacentral:lncRNA from 11 species